GAGAACUGAUCGCGCGCUGUCUGAGAGAACUGGGAUCGCGCGCAAGAAAGACAGAGCAGGCACGCGCGAGAGAGUGCUUCUGGUCUGUGUCAUUCAGCGCGAUUCCACCUAUCCCGCUUUCACUAAUCGAUAACAAAUUGUGAUUGAAAGCAUGCAGUUCGCAAUGUGUGGGUUGUCAUCAUUAAUUUUGAAGUAUUUCCACACCUCUGAGGCUGACAUUGUUUCUGCUGCUGCCGCCGGUGUCUCUGUGUGCGGAAAAUUCCGUCAGUUACGUCACGUGAGGUAUUGGUCUUUGGUAUCGGGGGUAUUUUUACGAGUACAAGUACAUGAGCUUGGUAUCGGCCCGAUACCGAUAGUGGUAUUGGUAUCAUGCAUCCCUAGUUGUCUUCUUAUGAAUGAGUCAGUAUUGCUGAUGCAAAGUAGGCCCUUCGUUACCAAACACCAAGUAACUAAACUAGGAUACAACUAUGAGUCAUUCGAAACUGUUAAACAUUUAACUGUUGGUUACUUUAAAACUAACCAUCUGGUAGAUCACAGGGAUAUGUGAAUAUUUGAUCUGUUAAAGCCACAAUAAGUACAUUUUCGCCGCUAGAAGUCACUUGUCCUUGAUUUUGUGGAAUCAUUGGAUGUGUUGUCUUCACGUCUACAGUCAGUGGAAAAGAAUCGGGAUGGGACUCGGGCAGAAUUCAUGUUCAUGGUUGAGAUUAUUAAUGUUACUGUGGUAUGAAGCAGAGCAAGGUCGAGUGAUGUUGGAGCUGAACGAGGCCGAUGGAGCGAUUGCUAAUGAGAGACGAGCGCGACAUGUCUUGAGAGCAGCGGAACAUUUAUUAUGCCACAGUCGCCGCUUCCGCUUUUUUCGGUCUAGCAUAUGUGGGGUAAAACAGCGCUGUUUAUCAUAUUAGAUACAUUUGUGUGUUGAAAGUUGUUAUAAUGCUACUCUGCGUUCACUUGGCAGCUGCUAUGAGACACUUGUUGCACACUGCAGUAAGCUAGAUCGAUAUUAGGCAUGGUAAAACAUGGUACUCACAGUAACAAGAAGCUAUAUAACAUGAUUAGUUUUCUGUUGUGGGAUUACAAAUUUAAGAAUCUGUUUAAGAUCUGCUGAUCCUACAUCCUGACAUAAUGUCACAUGAAAUACUAAGGUGAAGUAUAUUGUAUUUAACAUUUUGAGGUAAAGAUAAUGACAAUUUAAGGAGAUCAAGGCAGGCAGCCCAGGUGUCUGUAACAUUAACCUUUUGUCUUCAUGCACUUCCUAACCAUUUGGCAGGACAAGCUCAAGAUACAGCGGUGCCUUUGUCUCUAUGAUAAUGUAAAGGUAUGGGCGAUACUGUCAGACUGAGUGGAUUAGCACCUAUGCAUUUGAAUGACACCGUUAUGCUGAUUAGAUCAUGGCUGGGAAAUGUAGGGAAUGGGCUGAUUCCUGCACUGCAUUUGCAUGCUUUGUUUAGAUUGUCUCCACCUCUACUCUAUGUAUCCCUCCCCCUUGAAUGUAUAUGAACUACCAAGUACACUGCCUUAGUUGGACUUGAAUGACUACAGCGACGCACAGCGCGUUUCUCAAUAAAGAGUAACUUCUGCUUGAAAGAUA